rnacentral:rRNA from 1 species
AUUGAACGCUGGCGGCAGGCCUAACACAUGCAAGUCGAGCGGAAGAAGGGAGCUUGCUCCUGGAUUCAGCGGCGGACGGGUGAGUAAUGCAUAGGAAUCUGCCUGGUAGUGGGGGAUAACGUCCGGAAACGGGCGCUAAUACCGCAUACGACCUGAGGGAGAAAGUGGGGGAUCUUCGGACCUCAUGCUAUCAGAUGAGCCUAGGUCGGAUUAGCUAGUUGGUGGGGUAAAGGCCUACCAAGGCGACGAUCCGUAACUGGUCUGAGAGGAUGAUCAGCCACACUGGAACUGAGACACGGUCCAGACUCCUACGGGAGGCAGCAGUGGGGAAUAUUGGACAAUGGGCGAAAGCCUGAUCCAGCCAUGCCGCGUGUGUGAUGAAGGUCUUCGGAUUGUAAAGCACUUUUAGUGGGGAGGAAGGGCAGUGAGUUAAUACCUUGCUGUUUUGACGUUACCAACAGAAUAAGCACCGGCUAACUUCGUG